GGCUGCUGUGGAGAAUUACUGCUACCUGUUGCAUAACUGUGCUGUCCAGGAACCUGACGGAGGAAAACGCAGAGCGGUGCAGGGAUCAGUGGAACAGGAACAACCCAAAACAAGUUUCGAUGUCUAGUGUAAAAUGAAAUGAACAUCAGCGUGGACACCAACCAAGAAAGACGUGCUUGGAUGCAAAAAUCAACUCCUCCUUUAAGCUCAACUGAAACGGUGCAGCUGCCCUCAUCAACGAGCCUUUUGGAGAAAGUUGUGUGGUCAGACAAAAACAAAGAUUGAACCUCUUGGUCAAAAAGAUAAGUGUAUUUAUUGUACUUGGGGCUUUUAGUCAUAAGAUCCCCGUACUAACUGUUGAGCACGGUGGUGGUCACAUCAUGCUGAUGUAAAAAGGAGAACUGCCUCAAAGUUCUUAGACUUCUCCUCAAAAACAGCAGCUAAACAGUCGAAUCGUUGGUUUGUUAACAGGACCAUCAUCCUAAGAUCAAAGCUAUUUCUGGAGUGGAUGGAGCAAGUUUAUAUUAAACUGCUAAAACAGUUAAAUAGUCCCUUAUGUGUUUUAAUGAAUAGAAAUGGAUUUCUGUCA